GUGCCAGCCGCCGCGGUAAUACGGAGGAUCCAAGCAUUAUCCGGAAUCAUUGGGUUUAAAGGGUCCGUAGGCGGUCUUAUAAGUCAGUGGUGAAAUCUCCCCGCUCAACGGGGAAACGGCCAUUGAUACUGUAGGACUUGAAUUAUUAGGAAGUAACUAGAAUAUGUAGUGUAGCGGUGAAAUGCUUAGAGAUUACAUGGAAUACCAAUUGCGAAGGCAGGUUACUACUAAUGGAUUGACGCUGAUGGACGAAAGCGUGGGUAGCGAACAGGAUUAGAUACCCUGGUAGUCC
rnacentral:rRNA from 1 species